rnacentral:snRNA from 1 species
AAACAUCCAUGGUUUAUCCAAAGACUUUAAAGUGCCUUUUCCCAAGUGUUCACCUUUAAAGGCCUUUUCCAUUGCACUGCGGGGGGCUGAAGCAAGCCACUACCCCAAACCGGGGUAGGUGGGGCAUGCAAUUUUUGGUAGUUGGGCUAGGGCGUCCGCGCCAGCCCCUG